GGUGUUUUCGAGGACCCGCUUUUGCUUUUCUACGGGAUGUUGGGAUUUUUGAAGCACCCCGUCGUGGUGAAGGCUGACAUCAACUUGAACGUUGUGGCUCUGACUGCAAUGGGGCUACUGAGCCGCCUGUGGCAGCUCUCCUAUCCAAGGGCUGUGGUUUUCGACGAAGUGUAUUAUGGGCAGUACAUCUCUUUUUACAUGAAGCGGAUCUUCUUUUUGGAUGGCAGUGGACCACCGUUUGGCCACAUGCUGCUGGCACUGGGAGGUUAUUUAGGAGGAUUCGAUGGUAACUUCUUGUGGAACAGAAUCGGAGCAGAAUACAGCGGCAACGUGCCCGUGUGGUCUCUGCGCCUGCUGCCCGCCCUCACGGGGGCCCUGUCGGUCCCCAUGGCCUACCAGAUCCUGUCGGAGCUUGGCUUUUCUCACUGUGCCGCCAUGGGGGCCGCCCUGCUGAUGCUCAUCGAGAACGCUCUCAUCACUCAGUCAAGGCUAAUGCUUUUGGAGUCCGUGUUAAUAUUCUUUAAUCUGCUGGCUGUGCUGUCCUACCUGAAGUUCUCCAACUCCCAAAAACAGAGGCCCUUCUCUCCGAGCUGGUGGUUUUGGCUGACGCUGACCGGAGUGGCCUGCUCCUGUGCCGUGGGCGUCAAAUACGUGGGUGUUUUCACGUACCUGCUCGUGCUCGCUGUCGCUGGCGUCCACGCCUGGCACCUGAUAGGAGACCGGAGUCUGUCAAACGUCUCUGUGCUCUGUCACCUGCUGGCCCGCGCGGCAGCUCUGUUGGUCGUCCCGGCCGCCAUGUACUUGCUGUUCUUUUACGUCCACCUGAGUCUGGUCUACCGCUCUGGGCCCCACGAUCAAAUCAUGUCCAGUGCCUUCCAGGCCAGCUUGGAGGGAGGGCUGGCUCGGAUCACGCAGGGCCAGCCCCUGGAGGUGGCCUACGGUUCCCAGGUCACUCUGAAGAACGUUUUUGGCAAACCCGUGCCCUGCUGGCUUCAUUCCCACCAGAGCACCUACCCCAUGAUAUACGAGAACGGCCGAGGCAGCUCGCACCAGCAGCAAGUGACCUGUUACCCCUUCAAAGACGUCAACAACUGGUGGAUCAUAAAGGACCCUGGGAGGCACCAGCUGGUGGUGAGCAACCCUCCGAGGCCCGUGCGGCAUGGAGACGUGGUGCAGCUGGUGCACGGCAUGACCACGCGCUUCCUCAACACGCAUGACGUCGCGGCGCCCCUGAGCCCCCACUCGCAGGAGGUGUCAUGCUACAUCGACUACAACAUCUCCAUGCCUCCUCAGAACCUCUGGAGACUGGACAUUGUAAACAGAGACUCUGAUGCGGGGGUUUGGAAGACCAUCUUGUCUGAGGUCCGCCUGGUGCACGUGAACACCUCCGCGGUCCUGAAGCUGAGCGGGGCACACCUCCCAGACUGGGGGUUCCGGCAGCUGGAGGUCGUCGGGGAGAAGCUGUCGCGGGGCUACCACGAGAGCACCGUGUGGAACGUGGAGGAGCACCGCUACGGCAAAAGCCAGGAGCAGAAGGAGAGAGAAGUGGAAUUGCACUCGCCCACGCAGAUGGACGUCCACAGGAACCUGAGCUUCCUGGCCAGGUUCCUGGAGCUGCAGUGGAGAAUGCUGACGGCCAAGAGCGACGGCUCGGAGCACAAGUACAGCUCGUCGCCACUGGACUGGGUCACGCUGGACACCAGCAUCGCGUACUGGCUGCAUCCCAGGACCAGCGCUCAGAUCCACCUGCUUGGGAACGUCGUGAUCUGGGCUUCGGCCAGCCUCGCCACUGUGGUCUACGCUCUGCUCUUCUUCUGGUACCUGCUUAGACGCCGAAGAAAGAUCUGUGACCUCCCUGAGGAUUCCUGGCUGCGCUGGGUGCUGGCGGGGGCUCUGUGUGCCGGCGGCUGGGCGGUGAACUACGUCCCCUUCUUCCUGAUGGAGAAGACGCUCUUCCUGUACCACUACCUGCCGGCGCUCACCUUCCAGAUCCUUCUGCUCCCCGUGGUCUUGCAGCACAUCAGCGACCACCUGUGCAGGACCCAGCUCCUGAGGAGCCUCUUCAGCGCCCUGCUUGUGGCGUGGUACUCCUGUGCCUGUCACGUGUUCAACACGCUGCGCCCGCUCACCUACGGGGACAAGUCACUCUCCCCCAGCGAACUGAAGGCCCUUCGCUGGAAGGACAGCUGGGACAUUUUGAUUCGCAAACACUAGCAGGACACAAACCUGGUGAAGGCCGGGGCCGGGGCGAGGCAGAACUUUUACGGGGGUGUUCUUGUGACAGGGUAGCCCUAAGCCUGGCCGGCUGGCCGGGCUACCGCGGUUUCAUUUUCCAAACAGCCCCCGGAUAAGCAAAGUUCGUUUUGAGCAACAGAGUUUCUUUGUUCCAGGCGUUAAAGAACGCGGCCUUCUGGGUCCACUGACGCCCAAGAACCUCCCGAACCAGGCUAGUGUGGGACUCACGCGGGAGGAGAAACGGGAAGGGAGCGAGGGUCGCGCCAGCCAAGGCCCCGGUCGCUCUCCCGAGUGCCCGCUGGACCUGCUGGGCUACGGCGGUCUCAGCCCCUGCCCCCGGUGAGGUCUUGAGGACGCGCUCUGAACGCGGUGGUGUCACACAAGCUACCGAGUGAGAAGCCUUUGAAGAAGCAGAGGUGGGAUUCUGGCCGCUGCAGUGAGGACCCUCACUGCCGCCGACUCUCAACCCCCCGCCCCUGCGGGGUCCGGCUGAGAAGGGGAGAAAAUAACCUGGACAAGACUGUCACACACACCUCAGAAAGCAGCCACGGAGCUUGGCCAAGCCCAACUGAGGUCCCAUCCGUGUCACUACACACAGUACUCGCUAGAAGGAAACCGGAAGUGCCCGUGCGGUUUAGCCGGUGGCAACGGCAAAGCGUCGCUUUUACAGGAACGGUGCCACUGGGGAGGGGAAGACAAAGCAGGACGACAUGGAGCCCGGGCAUCGUCUGUGCGGCCGCGGACUCUAGGUGUGUGCAGGGAGACGGGCUGCCUUUGGACGGCGCGCCCCGACUCGGGAAGGCCUGUCCGCAGAGCACGCGGGGCCCAGGCGGCUCCUGCAAGCGGGGAGGCCUGACCCCGAGUAGGACUGUGUGUGGACACGGCGGGCGCCAGCCUGCCUCCUGUCCCAACCCGCAGGGCCGGGGACGGGGCUCGGGCCGGGGGAGCGGGGCCCGUCCCCUGCGGCCGAGGCUGGCUAAGGGAAGCUUGUUCCCAGGGCUCCUUCCUCGACUCUGCCCUUGGCGCACAGGCCAGGAGGAAGGAGACCCCUCCGUGGCUCCUACAUCCGUGCGUGCCAGACCGGGUCGCACCCCACUGCGGGGCACGAGACUCCGUCACUAGGUCACAACUAACGGUAGAAUAAAUAACAACGAAACAAAACA